rnacentral:misc_RNA from 1 species
GGGGUCAUGUAUGGUGGCAACGUUGGUCUUGGAUACUUGAAUGCCAUUUCCAAGGGAUCCCGUAUAGUCAAUAGGUUGAUCAUGUUAAACAUUGGCAGCGAGAGUCCAACUAACGUUCCUCCUAUCAGUAUCGCCGCGUGUUUGUUUCUUCUUGUUGCCCAGUACGACAGGUCCAGCAACAUUGCAGACGGUAUCCAUACAGGUACAGCAACGAAGUCAUAUGGAUAUCCAAGAGCAAACCAAGCGCCCUUUGCAACCCAAGUAUAAAUCGUCAUUAUAGUGGCGUAAUAGGUUGCUGUCCCUGGCACUCCCGUAAACAACAUGUAAUAGAUCGCACCCACAACAAGCAUCGUCGAUUGCGAUAUUGAAAACACGACGAAUGACGUCCAUGCCCAAUCAG